rnacentral:rRNA from 1 species
CCUACGGGUGGCAGCAGUGAGGAAUAUUGGUCAAUGGACGAGAGUCUGAACCAGCCAAGUAGCGUGAAGGAUGACUGCUCUAUGGGUUGUAAACUUCUUUUAUAUGGGAAUAAAACAGGGUAUGCAUACCCUCUUGUAUGUACCAUUUGAAUCAGGAUGGGCUAACUCCGUGCCAGCAGCCGCGGUAAUACGGAGGAUCCGAGCGUUAUCCGGAUUUAUUGGGUUUAAAGGGAGCGUAGGUGGAUUGGUAAGUUAGACGUGAAAGGUUGGGGCUGAACCGUAAAAUUGCAGUUGAAACUGGCAGUCUUGAGUACAGUAGAGGUGGGCGGAAUUCGUGGUGUAGCGGUGAAAUGCGGAGAGAUCACGAAGAACACCGAUUGCGAAGGCAGCUUACUGGACUGCAACUGACGCUGAUGCACGAAAGUGUGGGUAUCAAACAGGAUUAGAUACCCCGGUAGUC